CGUGCCUGUGGCAAUACGCCGGCUUCGUGUGCGUGUGUGUUGAGUAUCGGCCGGAAUCGAUGAAUCGUGACUCGAUCAGGUUGCUAGCUAGCUUCUGCUAGUAGCAAAUAGUACACGUCCAACUAGUGGUGCUAGAAUUUCAAAAAAAAAAAACUAGCGGUGCUAGCUUGGAACGUGCACGUCUAAGCCGACUUGGGGCAGGAACCAAGUUCAACCGCGUUGCUUUGUUGUUGUGAUCUUUCUCGCCGUUGAUCAUCGUCGUCUUUGGAAAGUACACGACGUCAGGUCUGGGCCAAUAAUUGAUAUCAGAGCGAGACGUAAUUUUAAAACACGUGUCAAAGUUAUAGACUCAAAGGCGGCUGCAUGUAGCGCCCUAGGAGCAGGAGCGCUCGGUCCCCCAGUGAGCCAAGCUAGGAGUCCGAACCCGGCUCGAGGCUGGCCAGGAAUCAGCCUGAAAAAGAUGGUUCGGCCGCCGAUUACACCCUCCAAGAGCGAAUGUCUAGGCGGACGUUGGGGCUAUCCAGGUCAUCACUUUUACUGUGGCGAGGCGAUAGAAAAAUCUCACGCGAGAAACUUCCCCAGGUAACACCUCCCUCGGUGAAAAAUAGAGAGAAAGGAAACUUCCCCAGAAAGGCAGCCGUCGUCUCCUCCCAUCCCAAACCCAGUAGUCCACGCCGCCGUCUCCUCCCAUCCCAAAUUCUCCGACUUUGCCGCGCUGGCUACUAGAGGAAGGGCUUGGACGCCGUCGUCGUCCUCGCCCAUGGCGCGCGUCAUCCGAAAGAACCCCGUCGGCUCCGUCGAUCUGCUAGAUCUGUCCAAGGAGAGGGAGAGCAGUAGUCGCGUUUGGACGCGAGGAGGGGGAGCAGCCAACCGCGCCCGGCCAGCGAGCACCGCGCCGCUGCGUCAUACCUGCAUGGCCUGAUGGCGCCCGUCGUCGUCCAGGAGCAGGAGCUCGCAUCAACGCCCGCCGACCACCUCUCCAAGAUGAGCCGCUCGUUUUCACCUCGGUAGUUGAUUCAGGUGUCGGCGACGAGCAAGCACUCCCAGCAACUCCUCCUCUCAUUCUGCUUAGCCUCGCUGUCCGCGCCCACCGACAGUCCCCUGGUUGUUGCAGGUUUGUGAGCCUUCGAGGCUUCCAGGUGUGGCUUUAGUUAAGUUCAGCCCCCUACACCCGGGAGAUUGGACAAUUUGCCCCACUUUACUUGGACAUUAGAUGAUUUGCCCCAGUUUACAUGGAUUAGAUCAUUUGCCCCACUUUUCAUUUUUCUUUUGAUGAUUUGCCCUUUUCAAUUACUGAAAUCAUUUUCGAAUUUCUAUCCCUUUUUCCCAUGCGUAAAGACACAAUUGCCCCUGUGGCUAAUUUACAAUUCUUCUAUAAUCUUCUCUGCUUUUGGACUGGUCCUAGUUCCAUCGACGAGCUCACUAUUCUCGGGACCCCACUAUUCUCUAGUUCAACACCUUUCCCCUGUUCUUCAUUCCCCAAUAAUCAUACCACAGGAAGCUAAUGGAGGAGGCCGACGACGGCACCUUGACCCCCAUCUUGGCAGCAGCGGCCCCGCGCAGCAGCUCCCGCUGCAGAUCGUCGGCCCGGUGCACGGUGGCUCCAGCUGCAGCUCCUCGGCCCGGCGAGGCGGCUCCCGCUGCAGCUCGGCAGCUCGGCGGCCCGGCGCGGCAGCUCCCACUGCAGGUCGUCGGCCCGGCGAGGCGGCUCCCGCUGCAGCUCCUCGGCCCUGGGAGGCGGCUCCCGUUGCAGCUCGGCGGUCCACCGCGGUGAAUCCCGCUGCAGCUCGGCGGACCGGCGGGUACCCGGGGCUCCCGCUGCAACUCGGAGCUGCAGAAGGUGCGCUCGUUGCUGGUAAAAACUAAGUUCUUCUAGUGAUUCAUGGAUUUACAAUUUUUUUUGUGUCUGAGCUCAUUGCGUUGCCGGUAAUAGCCAUGGUUGGACGACAGUGUUGAUAGUACUAAUUACCCUAGCAGCUGGUACUACUUCAAUCAUGGAGCUGGGUACAUUGUAUAAAAUACUUCGUUCAGUUAUCUCCUCCAGAUGCUUCAGACUUUAAUUGUAUCACACUGAAAAUAUAUGCUUCAUCUAUUGUUGGAUCUCCUUUAGUCACAGGUGAGAGAUCUAUAUAUAUGAUGUGCAUCCUGGCAUAUGCACUUUGUUGGAAAUUGGCAGCAUAUAGCAGCUUCAUAGAUAAAACAAAAUAGACCGACAACAUAUGUUCACUUAGCACAUGGAAUUGAGAGAAUAGAUCACACCGAAAUCACAAACUGAUGCCACAAAAAGGUUGCUCGGUUCAAAUGAAAUGAUAAAUUAAUCCGAGUUUACAUCAAGCAAAAAAUAUCUUUGAAAUUUGUCUGAAAUUGACAAAUUUCAACACAUCUCAGAAUUUAAAAUAGCAAUUCAAUGCACUAAGAUUAGAGCUUCUUCCUCUUUGGGGUCAACUUUUUCUUGCAUGUUGUAGAGCGUGAAGGGAAGUGAGAAGUAGGUGAUGCUACAGAAUCAAUAGUUGUCCCACAUGGCUGUGAUGCAUCGUCUCCAGCUAUGGCCAUAGCAAGCCUCCUGCAUGUUUACACACCAAUGUUAUAAAAGUAAGAUUUUUCUUUUGCAUGAAUCAAAUGUUCAUAUGACAGAUAUAAUAAUUACCUCCUUGUGAUAGGCCCAGGGCUGUUAUGAAGGCUGGGAGGCAGUGUUAUUGUUGUUGUGCGUGUAGGUGUCGCAACAACAACUGGAGCGAGCUCAUGCGCAGACACGUCACUAGAAAGUUCAAUCACACCGGAUGUUACCAAUGGAAGCUAAGGAUAAGGAAGUCUAUCAAAGUCUGCAAUCAGUAAAAAAAAGGUCGCCGACAUCCUGACUUCCAUUCUGUUAUGUUAGGAAACAAUUGCAGGGGUUACUACAAGUGUAGCAGCGUUAGGGGCGGCCUAGCGAGGACGCAUGGCAAGAGGUUCUAACCCUGCUUGUGGCACUGUGUGUGUUUGGGGUGGGGUGGGAGGGAGGGGAAAUCAUAUACUGACCAAUCUGGAGUAGAUCGUGGUGAUCCAUGGACGCAAGAGUCGCCUCCCUGUUCGACAGUAGGUGGAAUCGUCUCAGCGGCCAUCUGUGUGAAGCUUCGCUGUCCGGGGGUCAUUGGAGUUGAUGGCUUCGUGGCCGGCGGUGGAUCCGCCUCUCCACUAGCCAUGAACCUGACGUCACAAGCAACAGAAUCAAUCUAUGAUUUGUGAGUAGCUGGUUCCGUUGGGUAGAGCCAUGUAAAGAAAGUAGAUACGAUUUGUUCCCUGUUAAUUAGUUGCUUCGGUUGGACGUGGCCUUGUAAAGAGAAAAGAUCUGUACAGUACCAAAUUGUAAAUUAGCCACA